AUAGUACUCCACCUCAGCGAGAGAUGUAGUGCUAGAAUUUACCUUCCUAGGUUGAAUUAGGGAUAGUGAAAAUACAGUGCUGUGUGAUUUGAUAUGAUUGGCCUCUAAGAUGUGUCCCAGAGUGCUCCACCAUGAUCGCUCUGGACAGAACUUUGAACUCCACUACAUUUCAGCAAGAGUGCCAGAAAAUUGCUGUUUUUGUGCUUGUUUAUUCUGGAUGGAUUUUUAUAGUGUUGAAGUCACACACUGCAGCCCUUUGAUUCUGCUCCUGAGAAAUUAGCAGAGAUUCCAGUAGAGGUGAUACAGAGAAGAGACAAAGGUCCUUGCCUGGAGUCCUGAGCAGGAGACCUGAUUGGGAACUCUUGGAAUGGACCAUGGAGAGAUACAAAUACAGUUACACUGAAAGUGUGACACACGUGUUUUGGUAUAAAAGCAAGUUUAAACUUAAGUUGAGAGCUAAGAUAAAUUCAUUGUUAUAAUAAAUUCUUUGACUCCUGUCUACAAUUUAAAUGUAGCUGUCUCUCUGAAGCAAGUAUAUCACUGUCAGUGUGGAAUAGGAGAUACAUAAAAAUGUACUCGGAGCUGUCUAGGA